AUUUAUGUUGCAAUAUGGUAUGCAGUGCUUUACCCAGAAAUCAUUUUAAACACUAUUUCUCUGAUGAAUGUAUUUACAGGAUCAAUAGAGGACAGUUUAACUUUAACAGAUUCCCUCUUGAACCUACCCUUGUUCUUCACCUCACUGCUUCAAUGCAGUGUCCUGGAGUUCUUGACCUUGGAGUUCUCAUACCGGCCUGCUUUUGAGAUCCAGACUGCUCUGUUUACCCCAGGCAUCUCCUGAGGAGGGAGAGACCUGAGAAAUGUAGAGGCACACCCCAGCUUCACUUCAAACUCCAGCUGCCACACUUACCCUUGGCUGAGCAAGGGAUGUUUUACCAGCAUGCCUUCUUCUGAAUCCUGCUUUCUUGAAAGUGUAUUUCAUAUUUCUAAGUUAAUAGGAUUUUAAUAUCUGUUAAUUAGGAAGGCUAUUCAUGUGUAUAGGUAGCAAAUAAGCAUAAUAGGAAUUUUGUUGACAGUGGGUACAUUUAUAACACAGCAGGUAAUUCUUCCCAUCUUCUCCAUCAAAGACUUUCCUAAAUUCACAACAAGGCUUUUUCAUAAUCAUGUACAGUUAUAUGUAUUUAACUCUUCCAACUAGAGUUUUCCAUUAGCCAACAUCUUUGCCUGAAUAUUGCUGUCAUCAAUUAUAUCAGUACAACUUAUAAAAAUGAAAAGCGCAUGACUUAGUCACUUCUGACAGAAUUGUAUAACAAAAUAUUUUGAAAAACUCAUCAAAGUUAUAAAAGCUUAGAAAAAUGAAAUCUUUGCAUAGUAAGUCAAUAUAUAAGUAAACAAGUAGUAGAGGUUUGAAAAAUGGUUGAUAAUAUGACUGUAAAAAGAUAAUAUGUAACUCUUGAGUUCUAUAAAGCUAAAAAAAAUAAAA
ensembl:lncRNA